AAAAAUCAUACUCUCCGAGCCAGGUAACCUAAAGCUCGACGCCAUGGUACCUGGCCGGCAGGGUGUACCGGGAAACCGGUGUGCCUUCCAUUGCGAAAAGGAGAGCUGGAUUUGGGACC
rnacentral:ncRNA from 2 species